GAUGAACGCUGGCGGCGUGCCUAAUACAUGCAAGUCGAGCGAACAGACGAGGAGCUUGCUCCUCUGACGUUAGCGGCGGACGGGUGAGUAACACGUGGAUAACCUACCUAUAAGACUGGGAUAACUUCGGGAAACCGGAGCUAAUACCGGAUAAUAUAUUGAACCGCAUGGUUCAAUAGUGAAAGACGGUUUUGCUGUCACUUAUAGAUGGAUCCGCGCCGCAUUAGCUAGUUGGUAAGGUAACGGCUUACCAAGGCAACGAUGCGUAGCCGACCUGAGAGGGUGAUCGGCCACACUGGAACUGGGACACGGUCCAGACUCCUACGGGAGGCAGCAGUAGGGAAUCUUCCGCAAUGGGCGAAAGCUUGACGGAGCAACGCCGCGUGAGUGAUGAAGGUCUUCGGAUCGUAAAACUCUGUUAUUAGGGAAGAACAAAUGUGUAAGUAACUAUGCACGUCUUGACGGUACCUAAUCAGAAAGCCACGGCUGACUACGUG
rnacentral:rRNA from 1 species